UCAACUAAUACACCAAAACGUGAAUAACUUUCAGUGAAUAGAAUAAAAAAUAAAGUUAUUUACUGGGUAAUUAUGACAGCUGAUAUUAAGAAAAAAAAUGCUACUGAUACAUCUGGAAAACCAGUCAAAGAAAAGAAAGGACGACAGAAGUACACAGAGGUAGAUGAAGCAAUUCUUAAAGAUAGUUACUGGUUAAACAGAGUCUUUUUUUUGAGAAGUUUGGCAUUUAUAUAUUUUGUUGCUUUUCUCGUGGCACUUCACCAAAACAAAGCGUUGUUGGGUAAUAAUGGCUUACUACCCACUGAUAAAUACCUAAAACUUAUAAAGAAUCAUUUUGGUUCCAAAAAUCUACAUACUGCAUUUGUCAACAUACCCACUCUGUUGCUAUUCACGAAAGAUGACGACAUUGAUUGGUGGUUAGAUGCAUUGGCAUACACUGGUUUAAUGUUUUCUGGUUUUGUGUUACUAACUGGAGCUGCUAAUAUGUUAAUUAUGGGUAGCUUGUGGAUGUUGUAUCACUCAAUUGUUAAUAUUGGCCAAAGAUGGUACAGUUUUGGUUGGGAGUCUCAACUUUUGGAAACUGGUUUUCUUGCCAUCUUUUUUUGCCCAUUUCUACAUAUUACACCAUAUCCAGAAAACACUCCGCCUUCGAAAACUGUCAUUUGGGGUUAUAGAUGGCUCAUUUUCCGCAUUAUGCUUGGCGCUGGUCUCAUCAAAAUACGUAGCGACGAAUGCUGGAGAGAUUUAACUUGUAUGAACUAUCAUUACGAGACUCAACCUGUGCCAAAUCCACUCAGUUACUAUCUCCAUCAAACACCAGAGUUCAUGCACAAUUUCGAGACACUGGGUAACCAUUUUAUCGAGUUAAUUGCACCUUUCUUUUUACUGCUCACACGAAGGUUUAGAAUUAUUAGUGGCUUGCUACAAAUAUUUUUUCAGGUCCUUCUUAUUCUAAGUGGUAAUCUGAGUUUUUUGAAUUGGCUGACAAUUUUACCCAGCCUUGCUUGCUUCGAUGAUCACUUUUUGUGUAUAUUUUUCUCUACACGAAGUCAAAAUGAAGCGAGACGACUCCGAAAGAACGCUGACAAGAAAGCUAUGAAAAGUUGGGGUUCUUCUGUCCGUGCUGUGUUGGAUUACAUAUUAGCCUGUCUGUUGAUCGUACUCAGUAUACCUGUCGUACAAAAUCUCUUGUCGAGUCAUCAAGCCAUGAAUACAUCGUUCGAUUCUUUUCGUAUCGUAAACACGUACGGUGCAUUUGGAAGUAUCACGAAAACGAGAACUGAGGUUAUUAUUCAAGGAACAAGAAAUUUAACACUUAUUCCUGAUGAGCAUGGUGGAUUGUGGAAAGAAUACGAUUUCAAGUGUAAACCAGGCCUUGUGACAAGGCGGCCAUGUUUGAUUUCUCCGUACCAUUAUCGUUUGGACUGGUUGAUGUGGUUUGCAGCAUUCAUGAACUAUCAACAGAACCCAUGGUUGUUACACUUCACCGCAAAACUGCUAGUUAACGAUCCUAAUGUGACGUCACUGCUCGCCCAUAAUCCUUUCGAAGAUGGACCGCCACCUAGAUACAUUCGUGGUGAACAUUAUGAAUAUAAAUACACAAGGAUAGGAAGUGAAGAAGCUAGAAGUAACUGGUGGAGCAGAAAGAAAAUAGGAUCUUACUUCCCUCCUGUCAAUCUCGAUGCGUUAGAUGAAUUUUUGAAACGUAAUGGAUGGGACACCCCUGUCUUAGAUGAGUAAUCUUAAAUCAUUGUAAAAGUGUAACGCCAAUCAUUAGAAUUAAAAAAACUUCAUUCUCGUUUCAAAAUAUGCGACUUUCGAUACAUAACGCUUUCUCUGACUCUUUGUCAGGGAUUCGAUUGACCUUUUACUUCUCUUCACACGAUUCUAGAAGUAAUACGAAGAAGUUCUGGGGAUCGCGGAUCGAAUCCCGCUCACUGCUUGGCAGUAUGUUAGUGAUGAACAAAGUAGUUCUUCUUCGAUAUGACUCACGCAAUAUACUCGCCCAUCAUGAUCAGAGGUCUGGUUCAGUGUGAAGCAUUCUCUGUUGAGAAUGAAAUACGGAUGUG